GACGAACGCUGGCGGCGUGCCUAAUACAUGCAAGUAGAACGCUGAAGAGAGGAGCUUGCUCUUCUUGGAUGAGUUGCGAACGGGUGAGUAACGCGUAGGUAACCUGCCUGGUAGCGGGGGAUAACUAUUGGAAACGAUAGCUAAUACCGCAUAAAAUUGAUUAUUGCAUGAUAAUUAAUUGAAAGAUGCAACUGCAUCACUACCAGAUGGACCUGCGUUGUAUUAGCUAGUUGGUGAGGUAACGGCUCACCAAGGCGACGAUACAUAGCCGACCUGAGAGGGUGAUCGGCCACACUGGGACUGAGACACGGCCCAGACUCCUACGGGAGGCAGCAGUAGGGAAUCUUCGGCAAUGGGGGGAACCCUGACCGAGCAACGCCGAGUGAGUGAAGAAGGUUUUCGGAUCGUAAAGCUCUGUUGUAAGAGAAGAACGGGUGUGAGAGUGGAAAGUUCACACUGUGACGGUAUCUUACCAGAAAGGGACGGCUAACUACGUG
rnacentral:rRNA from 1 species